rnacentral:rRNA from 1 species
GAUGAACGCUGGCGGCGUGCCUAAUACAUGCAAGUCGAGCGAACGGACGCGAAGCUUGCUUCUCUGAUGUUUGCGGCGGACGGGUGAGUCACACGUGUAUAACCUACCUAUAAGACUGGGAUAACUUCGGGAAACCGGCGCUAACACCGGAUAAUAUUUUGAACCGCAGGGUUCAAAAGUGAAAGGCGGUCUUGCUGUCACUUAUAGAUGGAUCCGCGCUGCAUUAGCUAGUUGGUAAGGUAACGGCUUACCAAGGCAACGAUGCAUAGCCGACCUGAGAGGGUGAUCGGCCACACGGGAACUUAGACACGGUCCAGACUCCUACGGGAGGCCGCAGUAGGGAAUCGUCCGCAAUGGGCGAAAGCCUGACGGAGCAACGCCGCGUGAGUGAUGAAGGUCUUCGGAUCGUAAAACUGUGUUAUUAGGGAAGACCAUAUGUGUAAGUAACUGUGCACAUCGUGACGGUACCUAAUCAGAAAGCCACGGCUAACUACGUG